UAUGCACAUUCUCCUCAGUACGAAAGGACCAGGAAAAUAGGACCAAUAUCCUCAACAAGUCCUCCACCAUAUGAAACAAUAUUAAUCCUAUAGUACCCCAUCACCCAAGAACAGGAC
rnacentral:rRNA from 1 species